AGAAAGGCAUUCUAUUUCUGCUGGGUGUCAUUACACGGUCAUUCAAUAGUAGAUUAUUACACAGCCACGACUAGUCAUUAAACCUUUCCCACUCUGGAUAACAAAAGAACGCACAGGAUUGAGUGGAAUUGUGUACAUAUGUUGUCAAGGCAUCGAUAAACGAAAUGGACAUUUUCUUAAAUGUCCUUGAUCAACAACGGGGAAACUUCCAACUUUAAUUGAUUAACUGUGUUUUUAAUAGUAUUUUGCAGCAAAGUGCAAAAUACUCUGGCUCCUUUGAACUUCUGCAGUGAUGAGCAGAAUAACUGCCUUCAGGACAUACAGAAUGAAGGUCUAUGAGUAGAAGCUCACCACACAAUGGUUUAUAUCAUGUUUUCUUUCUUUAGACAAACUAGCACAGGCUGAAUCAACUCACUUCCUCAAGUGCUUCCAGACGCAACAAUCACAUUCUUAAUGAUCAAUUGUUUCUAAUGUCUAUCGGAAUGUUAUUUUUUUCAAAUGAGCUUUAGUGACGUUCUUCAGACUUUUUAAUUUAAGUGUACAUAAAGGGUUAUUCUCCAGCACAGACAUUUCUAUAUAACAGGCUUCUUGUUUGUGUCAACACCCUAGGGAGAGCAGAAUUGGGCAAAGCAGAACACUAUUGAAUGCUUUUGUUUGUUUCUUUUAAGAACAUUUCAAAGACUUCAAAGGGACGAUGGGUGCCAAAAUAAUCUGAAACUCGUCUGCAUAUCAGACUGGCAGAUUUGAAGCCAAGAAAGUUGACACAAAUACUGCAAUACUCUAAAGACACUGGCCUGGAUGUAAACACGCAUUUGCCAUGGGAAAAUAAUAUGAUUCUCUUCAAUCAACACCCCCAAUCAGAAAAUGGCAACGCCUACACGUUACACAAUUUUAAUGUCUCCCAGUCACUCCGUGAUCUUUGGAAACCCUCGCCAUGGCACAGCGCUUUAUUUCUCACAUUACAUUGCCGCAUCGUGAGCUCAAGUCGUGCAUCACGUUCAAGGAUGACAAUCCAAUUCACAUCCAUCCUUGCUGUUUAUCUCGAGGGAUCGGUCUGUCACAUGUGGCUGGAUGGAGCUUUACGAUUCAGUAGGUCAAGCAGUCCGACAGAGAUGCCCAUUCCUUUCCACAGAUCAAUGAGGGCGAUGCAUACGGAGGUCAUGGACGACGCCGUAUACAUCCACCACAUUUUCCCUUUCAAUUUGGAAGAUGAGACGAUCUAUGGCUAUGAAGGUGCCAGUGCGGCCCACCCCAGCGCUGACAGGGAGAAAGACACAAUGCCAGCUUUCUCCCUCACUCCAAAGAUGUAAAAGUAAGGUUUGUUGACGGAAAAAAUAUGUCUGAAGCUGAUAAGGAGCUCGGUGGUUUCUGGUACUCCGUGGUCGGGCCAAGCUAUGAAGUGGAAUUGGCGUACUGAACGAGUCUCUGCUGUUUUCACCUAUUGGACACACAUUUGCAUGGAUGAGG